GAAAAUCUCGCAUUUUCUCUUCGAAAAUACCCCAUUUAAGCGAAAAACACACAUUUUCUCAUCGCAAAUCCCCCAUUUAAGCGAAAAUCACACCUUUUCUCUUCGAGAAUCCCCCAUUUAACCGAAAAUCACACAUUUUCUCUUCGAGAAUCCCCCAUUUAACCGAAAAUCACGCGUUUUCUCUUCGCAAAUCCCCCAUUUAAGUGAAAAUCUCGCGUUUUCUCUUCGCAAAUCCCCCAUUUAACCCGAAAAUCACGCGUUUUCUAUUUGCAAAUUUCCCAUUUCAGCGAAAAUCACGCGUUUUCUCUUCGCGAAUCCCCCAUUUAAGCGAAAAUCACGCGUUUUCUCUUUGCAAAUCCCCCAUUUAAGCGAAAAUCACACGUUUUCUCUUUGCAAAUCCCCCAUUUAACCCGAAAAUCUCGCGUUUUCUCUUCGAAAAUCCCCCAUUUAUGCAAAAAACACGCAUUUUCUCUUCGCAAAUCCCCCAGUUAUGCAAAAAUCACGCGUUUUCUCUUCGAGAAUUCCCCAUUUAUGCGAAAAUCACGUGUUUUCUCUUCUCAAAUCCCCCAUUGAAGCAAAAAUCACUCGUUUUCUCUUCGCAAAUCCCCCAUUUUAGCAAAAAUCACGCGUUUUCUAUUCGCAAAUCCCCCACUUAACCAGAAAAUCACGCGUUUUCCCUCGAGAAUCUAGCAUUUAUGCGAAA
ensembl:lncRNA